CCUACGGGAGGCAGCAGUGGGGGAUAUUGCACAAUGGGGGAAACCCUGAUGCAGCGACGCCGCGUGAGUGAAGAAGUAUUUCGGUAUGUAAAGCUCUAUCAGCAGGGAAGAAAAUGACAGUACCUGACCAAGAAGCCCCGGCUAACUACGGGCCAGCAGCCGCGGUAAUACGAAGGGGGCAAGCGUUAGCCGGAUUUCCUGGGUGUAAAGGGAGCGUAGACGGGUCUGUAAGUCUGGAGUGAAAGCCCGGGGCCCAACCCCGGGACUGCUUUGGAAACUGUGUAACUGGAGUACAGGAGCGGCAGGCGGCAUUCCUGGUGUCGCGGUGAAAUGCGUCGAUAUCAGGAGGAACACCGGCGGCGAAGGCGGCCUGCUGGACUGCAACUGCCGUUGCGGCUCGAAAGCGUGGGGAGCAAACAGGAUUAGAUACCCUAGUAGUC
rnacentral:rRNA from 1 species